AGAGAAAUUCCUCUCUCUCUCUCUCGCUCCCGCGCGCGCGCCCCGCGCCGCCCGCGCCACGAACACCCAAGAAAAGAAACGCCACGCCACGCCAUCUCUGCUUCGCCAUUGGUGUGGAUUGGAGCUUGCUGCGAUAUCGAGGAGAGUCGCGUGCAGUAAUACUACUGAUAAAUUUGGUUGACGGGGUUAAAGAUAGGAGUAGCAAAGAACGUGGAACGAUUUCUUGGGCCGCGGGAGGGAGCGAUCUUGGGGAUGGCGGCGCCGCCGACGCCGUCGCCGUCGCUGGACUACUGGCGCGGGUUCUUCAGCGGGGCGCGCGCCAGCAUCUUCGACGCCAUCGACGCCGCCAUCCGCGUCGCCGCCGCCGACCACCCGGACGCCCUCCGCGCGCGCCGCGACGGCAUCGCCGAGCGCCUCUACACCGCGCUCGUCGUCCUCCCGCCGUCGCCGCCGCGGAGGCGGCGACGCGGGCGGACCGGCGGUUGCUCCUCCCCGACGCCGCGCGCGGCGUCCCUAGCCUGUGCAGCUCCGACCGCGCCGAGGCCGUCGUCACGGACGACGACGACGGCGCCGCCGCCGCCGUCGCUCCCCGCGGUGACUGCCACGACCGCGUCGCCGCCGAGGCGUUCCGCGUCAAGGCCGCCCUCUCCAACGCCCAAGAGAAGACGGAGGCCGAGCUGCUCGAGUUGCUCCGUGCUCUGCAGCAGCUGGAAUUCACGGUGGACGCCAUCAGGGUCACUGAGAUUGGAACAGCCGUGAAGCCUCUGCGGAAGCAUGGUUCAAAGCAGAUUCGGCAACUCGUCCGAUCGCUCAUUGAUGGUUGGAAGGCUGUAGUUAAUGAUUGGGUGAACAAUGGAGGUGCUAUUGUAGAUCAUACUCCACAGUCGAUGGACGGUUCUUGCUUGGAGCAGGAAGAAGGAGGGUUGCCUUCCCCUCCCAUGGAUGAGGCUGCUUUCUUCGCCACACCGUGUACUUCCAUCCAGUUAUCUGAGUUCUUCGAUGAAAUGGAUGAUGAUGGAAACAUUAGAACCAACGGCGAAGAGAGCGCGCAACAACAUUAUCCUGCAAACCAAGAGCCUGCCAAGAAGCAGCUUCCCAUGGGCCAAAGGUAUGAUCCAGAACAAAACUGGAAGCUUGACCAGUCUGCGAUGAGGCAGUCGCAGCCAUAUGAGCCUUCCAAUUGGCAAAAGAAGCAGCAAUCCGUCACCGGGGCACGACAGAGGCCGUCAGCUGCAGCACAUGGUCCCUGGACGCCUCAGAAGAUGCAUCUUGAACCGAAAUUUUCAGAAAUGCGACCUAAGCAGCAACCAGAUACCUCUGUGGCUCAAAGAAGACCGAAACCAACUAUGGCUGAUCAACUGUCAAGUCAGGUCGAUCAAAAUUCAGUUCAGGUGAAUGCCAAGCUUGAGGCUACAAAACGGAUGCUUCAAGAAGGUUACCAAGAAUUCAAUAAUGCAAAGAAACAGCGAACAAUUCAAGUGGUAGAUCCGCAAGACCUGCCGAAGCAAAGGAACCGAAACCUACAACCUAGUUGCAAGCCAAGGAACAGCUCCAGCAACAGCUUGCGGAAUCGGCUAGGCAUCCGUCGCUGAUUCCCAUCAAGUUACCACCAAUGCUGGAAAUUUCUCACCUUCAGUUUCAUGCCAAAAGAACCUUACUCCCUCUCACCGACUGGCUGCUGCUUAUAUACCCUGGAUAUUUAUCGGUCAUAUUUUUAGCCCAGCACCGUACAUUGUCAACAACAAGGCUUCUCUCAAACAAAAAUGUGUUGAGAUGCAUCGUUGUUGCACUCUAACAAACCUUGGGUCAUAAGUGGCUUGUUCCAAUGCUUGUCAAACUUGUAGAGAUCAUAGUAGUUCUAGUAUAUAUAUAAUACACCCAUGAUAUUGCUGAAAA